GCAAUUGCAACUGUCUGAAAGGCAAGAAAGCGGAACAUUUCCCUAAGUCUCCGGGUAGCCGACGCUGCCAGCGAAUUUCAGUUCUGGAGGCCAAGGGCAAACCUCAUUCCAAGCAUGCUUCUCACUCGUCUUGUUCCACCAAAGCAAAUGCCGUCGGCUCUGUUUGCAGAGACCUGCAGAGCAGCACAGGGUCAGUGCCCUGUAGGUAGCCCAUGCUGAAAAAGGUUUCCACUGAGGACUCUAAAUUAGGCCACCAGGAACGUUUCCUUUGCUGUCAGUUUCAUUUCCCAGAACUCUUAAAGUCCUUCAUUAUUUAUCCUCUGCAAAAGAAAGCUCUUGGGUAGACCUGCUUUUCGCCCAGGGAGCCAUUAAAUCAGGCAGCCUGACUUUCCAGCCCUGCUGUGGAUGGAAGAGUCCAGCACCAUGGCCUGGGAUAAAGCCUGGCAGACAUUUUUCAGUCUUGUUAAAAAGUGCUUGAACACAGAAGGGUUUAGAGUGGAUUACAACUUCUUUUUUAUGCUGAGUGAUUAUUAAAACGUCCACCUGCAGCAGGGUCACAAAAUGACAAGAAAUACAGAGGACAACCCCCUUCAGCGUUUGAAUGCUGGGUAGCACAUGCCUUAAAGGAGGCAGGAGUGGGAUAAAAAGUAAAAGGUUUCUUCAAGAGCCGCACAAAUAUGACGUCCUAAGUGCCCUCUGGAGUCACAGAGCUUAAGGGACCCAGGUGAUAACCUAGUCUGAUCUCCUGCCUCGCAUAGGCCAGAAAGUCCCACCCGGGAAUUCCUACAUUGAGCCCAAUGACUUGUGGCUGAGCUAGAGUGGAGCGUUCAGAAAGAGACAACCUUGACCUUAACAUUUCAAGUGACGGAGCACCUGGCAAGACAGAACCCAGGAGUCCUGACUCCCAGUCCCUCCUGCUCUAACCACUAGACCCCCUUCCCCUCCCAGAGCUGGGAACAGAGCCCAGUUCCCUGGGGCUCCUGCUCUCUAUUCUGUUUACCCAGAUACAUACGAUGGCAAUGAGGGACAUGUAUCUGUCUGCUUUUCCACCCACCUGCAUUGCUAAAGCACUAGUCCCCGCAGGGCUGGGGCUCCCUGUACAGAAGUUGUGAUGGGAAAACUCUUCUGGAAUUCAUGCACCACAAGGAAUGUGCAGCUGGCGCUGUGCUGACCCUGGUUUAGAAAUACCUACGUGGGGAGAAGAUUUCUGAGACCAGCUGGCUCUUUAAUCUAGCAGGACAAAGCAGAAUGAGAUCCAACAACUGGAAGCCAAAGAUGGAACAAUUCAGGGUGGCAAUGAGGCGCAGAUGGUUAAUUCACCGUUGGGACAACUUACCAAGGGAUGCGGUGGAUUUUCUGUCCCUUGUAAGUAGGAGACAAGAGACAGCAAGUGGAUACCGACAGUCGGAGGGGAGGGAACAGGGAACAGGGCCCGUCUUUUUUUCCUGUAUUUGAACAUCACUCAGCACCACGGGGCUCUGAGCCAUGUCGUGGGGUCGUCGUAGGCGCCACCUUAAUACACACCGCAAUAAAAAUAACAUAGAAUUUAGUUACUAGCAUGUGUCCGGGGUGGUUCCCGGUGUCUCCCGGAGGGCAGAAUUACUUGAUUUGCUUGUUUAAUUUUAUUUUUAAUUUGUUUUUCUGCCUGCUGUGUUCUCUGGGUCCAGGCAGCUCAUACCACAUGGCUCUGGAGCAGGUCUCGGGCUCAGCUGAAUGGCACUUGCUCAGUCAGAUCGGUUUGUAAGAGCGUUCAUCAACAAAACUAGGACAACAAGCCGAGAUCUCACAAGGGAACAAAUACGAAGUUUUAUAAAUAAUUGAUCCAUAAUUAAAGUGACGAUUAUGCUAA